rnacentral:rRNA from 1 species
UACGUAGGUGGCAAGCGUUGUCCGGAAUUAUUGGGCGUAAAGAGCUCGUAGGCGGUGUGUCGCGUCGGCCGUGAAAACCUGCAGCUUAACUGUGGGCUUGCGGUCGAUACGGGCAUCACUGGAGUUCGGCAGGGGAGACUGGAAUUCCUGGUGUAGCGGAGAAAUGCGCAGAUAUCAGGAGGAACACCGGUGGCGAAGGCGGGUCUCUGGGCCGAUACUGACGCUGAGGAGCGAAAGCGUGGGGAGCGAACAGG